UACGAAGGGGGCGAGCGUUGUUCGGAUUUACUGGGCGUAAAGGGCGCGUAGGCGGCGGGUCAAGUCGAGUGUGAAAGCCCCGGGCUCAACCUGGGAAUUGCGCUCGAGACUGGUUUGCUGGAGUUCGGGAGAGGAGCGUGGAAUUCCCAGUGUAGAGGUGAAAUUCGUAGAUAUUGGGAAGAACACCGGUGGCGAAGGCGGCGCUCUGGACCGAGACUGACGCUGAGGCGCGAAGGCGUGGGGAG
rnacentral:rRNA from 1 species